CGCAUACGCCUUCUUGGGCGUUUCCUCCCUAGACUUCAGGCCGUCCGCGAGGACGGCCUUCUUUUUGCACAGU
rfam:Skermanella stibiiresistens SB22 contig3, whole genome shotgun sequence.